GCUAUCUGGCUCAUGACCAUGGCAAAUGCUUCUCAUCCAAGAAUAAGGCUGCUUGCUCGCGCCUUCUAGAAUGUCCUGUGACUCAGCUCAAAUGCAGAGGCGUCCAUCCACUGAAGUUUCUGCGUGGCCACCUGACUUAGGUGAGUCCCUCUUCGCAGGCAGAGCGCUUCGCUGAACCCUAAGUCACGUGCUUCUCUGCACAGAUUCUCCCCUUCCUCAGGAUUCUUAACUCACCCGGAAAAGAAACGCAGCAUGUAACAGUGAUACUAAUGAAUGAAUAAAUGCAAUUAAUUAAUAAUUGCAA
rnacentral:lncRNA from 1 species